rnacentral:lncRNA from 10 species
AGAAGAGGUAAUAGUUUCUUUUUAAAAUUCUAUUUUCAUUCUUAGCAAAGUCCCUCAGUUCCUCAGUUGUCAUCUCUAGUUUGAGGUUUUAUUUCCUAGAGGACUUCAAAUCUUUUUUUUUUCUUUUUUUUUAGAUGGAGUCUGGCUCUGUCGCCAGGCCAGAGUGCAGUGGCAGGAUCUCGGCUCACUGCAAUCUCCACCUCCCAGGUUCAAGCGAUUCUCCUGCCUCAGCCUCCCGAGUAGCUAGGACUACAGACCGUGCCACUAUGCCCAGGAUCCCAACCGAUAUACUGAUUACGUUGUGAUAGCAUGUCUCCUUAGGCUGCUCUCGGCUUUGGUUUCACAUAGUCAGAGGCAAAAUUUCCAUAGAUGUGAUGGUCAAAAGCAAAACAUUCUAAAGCAAAGAAAGAAGAUGGUGAAGGCUUCUGAAGGCCAUCAUUGAAAAACAACUGACUUCCUUCUCAACAGGAUAGUAAAUGGAAGAUACAACAGUAAUUUUCCAAAUGCUGAUUGUAAUCUAAAAUGUGAAAAAGUUAUUUUACCAAACUGGUACAUAUUAUUGUAUGUAGGUAUAAUUAAUCAAAUCAGUGGUUAAUAUCACAUUUAUAAUUAAAGGUAAUACAAAAUGUAGACUUACUUUAAGAAGACAACAUUUUAUGAGAGAAGACUUACUUUGGAGCCUCCAGAUAUUAUAUGACUCUAUGUAUUUCCAAUAAAAAGUUAAAUAAACAAUGUUGUAAUUUCCAAGCAUAUUAAUUAUAUGUUACUAAAAGUAUUUGUUUUAGUUUAAACUUAGAAAAUGAAUGAAUGAAUGUAUCCGCAUAUCUUAAUCCAUGUAUUACUAACUUACGUUCUUUACUAAAUAUUGACUUCAAAGCACAUUAGUUUAUUUAAAUUGAUGGCAACUUUUUACCCUUAUGUUUUUACCCAAACAGAAAAGAUUGAAAAAGGGCUGUGUCAAAAAUCCCAAUGUCCAAAUCAUCUUGGAUUUUAAAAAAUCUCUAAAAUGUAUUUAAAAAAUCAGAAAACUUUUUUACGUGAACAUUUAUUUCUC